rnacentral:SRP_RNA from 1 species
AUCGGGAGUGGUGGUGUACUCCUGUAAUCCAACUACUUGGGGGCUAGAUGUAGAGGAUGUUUUAAGGGCGGAGAUUCUGGAAUCGGAUUUCCCACUAGGGGUAAAUCUUCAACUUGGAUACCUUGGGGGAGCCCGAGUUGAGCUUAAAAAGGGGAGAAAUCGGCCCAAAAGUCACCUAAUUGAGAGUAGUGGGUUCAAGUCUUGAGAGUGGGAGUUCAAUUUCAGCUCUUUCAAACAAGAACAGACCUGUACCUAA